UGAAUUUGUGUUUAUUACCCAGAUGACGCGGAGGUGUUAGCCGAUGAGCCGAUUGGACGUCGAUGGAAGCUAUCUUUUCCUACCGCUAGGUGACUCGAUCAUCAGCGUGAGUGAUUGAAUAUCGUCUGAUGCUUCCUGCCAUUCUAUUCCUUUGUCAUCGCCCCAUGGGAACUGAAGUCGUGAUUUCCCGCCUACUUGGAAAGGUUGGAACGAAAAAAAUAUAUCACUAACUUAGUUUUUCGGUUUUUUGCCAACUGGAGCUGAUUUGAUGAUGAAAUGAUGAUGAAAAACCUGAUGUAAUGAUAAAUCAAUGGAAACGAUUUACUGUUUCUGAAAUGCCAUCUUCAGUGUGUCCUGCUGUGCAUCUAUGUGAAGAAGGAACAACUUCGUUUCAAGAAUUUGCCAUCAUUUCCUGUGGGAUUGAGCAGCCAUGAGUUUCGGAACAAGGCCAUCGUUCACCACAAGACACCAAGGCUCUCGAUUGGAAUCCCAUCAGUUGAGGAAGUUCAUUCAAAGGUUAGUAGGAUCUUUAUUUUCUCGCAUCAGUUCUUGCAGUUUCUUCUCCUAGUGAAUGGCAAUAGUUCGUUAUCUGGUUGUGACGAUCUGGAAUUAUGUGACGGACAAGAUUUGUUGGGAAAUAUCAAAUGGAGAAAAACGAUUGAGAAAUCGUGCCGAUUCGAUUAGACUUGCAUCGAUUUAAUUUUCAGUUAGUAAUUCAUAAAGUGACGAUGCAAUAGCUUCGCAAAUCAAUUUUCCAUUUUCUUCCUAUGAAUGUCUCAAGUGUACCAACUUAUUCGCAUUCAAUUAGGAAAACUAAUCGUUGGUCUUUUUGUCAUUGCAAGUGUUUAUUUUUGAUCGUAUGUCGACAUCGACCCGCAUCGUCUUAUUUCUUCCUUGGCUCUCGGCUCCUUGUAACUUUUCCGACACAGCGGGACAUGCGAAUUGUAAUGAAUCUCACUUCUCUGCUGAAUGGAAUGUAUAGCACAAGGCAAUGUCAACAAUGCGAAGCUUCAUAAUUAGGAGGGACAUGUCGUCAUCGAUUCGGAAAUCGAAUCAGCUGUUGUCAGCUGUGUUGUACAUUUUUUCGGGGACGGUCUCUUUUAUGACAAACAUCAGGGACAUACAAAUAGGCUGACAGGCCACAACAUUUUUGGGGUUUUACUUUUUUAAAAGAGGCGCGAUAAUGUGCUCGAUCUUAGUUUUAAAUAGUUGUUGGCCACUACUUGACCGAUGCCCGUUUUAUUGAAUCCGUUCUUCUGAAUUCUUUCGAUUUAAGAAAUUUUCAUUUUGCUGGGCUCUUUUCCUUUUCGUGUUCCCGAUACCCGCGCACCUUGGCAUCGAAAAAAGUGAAAUGUGCAAUCAAAAGUGUCAAGUACGAUACUGAAUAGAAAGCUUUGGGUGGAAUAA